UUUAAUGUUUUAUGUCAGUAGUCACUUUGGAGGCUCAGAAAAAAGCCAUCUAAUUGACUGACGCACAUCGUCCCAUCAGCACUACCUGAUAAAAGACGGCUUCACCAUCAGCUAUUGAAAGCUUUAGCUGUGUAAACUAAUAGAAGAAAUGGUUUAUCACUGAAGCUGUUUUGUGAGGUUCCAGUUUUUGUAGGCUUCUUAAUAGCAGGAAAUUGAUUUAGAAAGGAUAUUUAAUUAUUUAUUGAUGUCUGCUGCCUUGUUAAAAAAAUAACACUGUAUCCAGAAACCACCUGUAGCAGAAAUAAACAGAUUUUUCUCAAAUCUUACGGUCAUCAUCAUUAGGUCACCAUACUCACACUUAAUCUGUAACUGCCCUUCGAUGAAUGUGUUACAUCACUUAUGCAUAUCAUUUCAUCUGUAAUUCUGUUUCCUUCACAGAAGCUGCAGCGUCAGCUUCACCGAACGAGAAUAUCAUCAGACUGGGGAUUACAAGUUGUCGAAAACUUUGAAAUCCAAGAGGAUGUACACAAGAUGAAUGACCGAUGGACACAGUGUGGCUCACACCUCUCCACUGCCUUCUAACUGAUUGGAUCUUUCUGGAGACUCACAAGAGAGGACUAACAGUGAAAUAGACUGCCUUCAUCUUCAGGAAGACCAUGACCAGAGGAAACUGAUUUAGGAUAUACAUAUAUAUUUUUUUCAAGAUAAUUCAUACACCCAGGACCUUUUACAUUUGUAAAUAUGCAUAUUAUUACAAACAUCUAUUUCUUGACUACAGGAAAACUCAAAGUAUUGCAUGCUCAAUAAUGCUACAGUUAUAUCAAUCCACUAUGCACCUACUGUAAGAAAAGGAAAUAAUUCAGUCAAGGUUGAUUUCAGUUGUCAGACUACUAAAUGGAUGUUAUUUGGGGAAGUCGUGGCCUAAUGGUUAGAGGGUUGGACUCCCAAUCGAAGGGUUGUGAGUUCGAGUCUCAGGCCGGCAGGAAUU